rnacentral:rRNA from 1 species
GACAGAGGGUGCAAACGUUGUUCGGAAUUACUGGGCGUAAAGCGAGUGUAGGCGGUUUCCUAAGUCAGGUGUGAAAGCCCCGGGCUCAACCCGGGAAGUGCACUUGAAACUGGGAGGCUAGAGUAUCGGAGAGGUUGGUGGAAUUCUCGGUGUAGAGGUGAAAUUCGUAGAUAUCGAGAGGAACACCGGUGGCGAAGGCGGCCAACUGGACGAAUACUGACGCUGAGGCGCGAAAGCGUGGGGAGCGAACCGG